ACCACCACCACCACCACCCACCCCCUCCCUCUCACUUCUCCGCAUCGCCUACCGCCACCGAGCAUUCCCAGCACCGUCCCACAGCAACAGCCGGCGUGGAAAUGGAGCGCUGCAGGCAGCACCUCAUCGCCAAGGCGCCGCACCUGGCUGAGCGCGUCCAGGCGUUCGCCGAGAGCAGCGCCACCGUCGAGCUCGCGGCGAUCCGGCUGGGGUGCGAUCCGGCGCACAUCGCCAAGUCGCUGUCGUUCCUUCUGAAGAAACCGACGAGCAAGGCGGAGGCGAAGGCGCACCAGAAGAUGAUGAGGGAAGUGCGCGCGCAGCAGCAGGACGGCAGCGGGGCGGCGGGGAGCGACCGCGCGAGCGCCUCGCCCGCUGGCCCGCCCACCGCCACCGCCCCUGGCGACGCCAACAUCAUUGUGAUUGUGGCGUCGGGCGACGCGAAGGUGAGCGCGAAGAAGUACAAGGAAAAGUUUGCGUGUCAGCCCAAGAUGCUGAAGCGCGAGGAGGUGGAGCCGUACACAGGCUUCCCGCCCGGGGGCGUGUGCCCCUUCGGCCUCAACGAUGACGUCAGGGUAUACCUGGACGUCUCGCUGAAGCGCUUCCCAUAUGUGUACCCGGCGGCGGGGACGACGAACACUGGCAUCAAGGUCACGGUCGAUGAGCUCGAGCAGUACGCGUCGAACGCCGUUGAGUGGGUGGACCUCUGCGAGGGGUGGAAACCGGAGGAAGGCACCGCCGCCAAGAAGGUGGAGAGCGAGGCGUCCAAGUCGGCGGAGGCGACGGCGUAAUGCACACGUGUGCGCAUCUCUGUGCCAGUGAGCUCACGAAGAAAGUGCCGCCUGUCGAGGGCGCAUGGGAAAAGAGAGAAGGACGCAGACAGACGGUGCAUCGUGUCUUGCCUGUGGUAUGCCUAUGCGUGCGUGGCACAUCCCUUCGACGUGCUCCCUUCGCCUUGGGAGGUGAUGCCGCCUCAGAUCUCCGGCUCUGCCCCAGUCACACGCACACGUGGCACGAACACGCAGGCGCAGAGGUGCGUGUUUCCAUCCCUCCCUCCCUCUCUCUCUCUCUCUCUCUCUCUGUGCGUGCGUGCGCGUCGGACAGUCACGCAGCUUCGAGUCUUCCAAGUCGCAUGCGAUGCGCUUGCCCCUCCCCCUUCUCCCUCUUUUCUUCCUCCAACGCCCAUGUGCGGUAGGGCCAAGUCCUUUCACUUCCAGAAAGCGCUGAGAACGAGAGCCCUUGGCCAACGGACUCCUCCGCCCUCCCCUGUCAGUGCCGCCUCUUUCGGCUGUGCCCGUAGCUUGUUGCUGCCACUCUUCUCUGCCUGUGUGCGUCGGUC
rnacentral:misc_RNA from 1 species